GAGGGUAUAGCUCAAGUGGUAGAGCACAUGCUUAGCAUCAACAAGGUCCUGGGUUCAAUCCCUAGUACCUCCU
rnacentral:tRNA from 1 species